GACGAACGCUGGCGGCGUGCUUAACACAUGCAAGUCGAACGGAAAGGCCCUGCUUUUGUGGGGUGCACGAGUGGCGAACGGGUGAGUAACACGUGAGUAACCUUCCCUUGACUUUGGUAUAACUUCAGGAAACUGUGGCUAAUACCGGAUAGGAACUCCUGCUGCAGUGUGGGCGUUGGAAAGUUUCGGCGGUUGGGGAUGUACUCGCGGCUUAUCAGCUUGUUGGUGGGGUAGUGGCUUACCAAGGAUUUGACGGGUAGCCGGACUGGGAGGGUGACCGGCAACAUGGGGAUGGGGAUACGGCCAAGACUCAUACGGGAGGCAGGAGUGGGGAAUAUUGCACAAUGGGCGGAGGCCUGAGGGAGCAACGCCGGGUGCGGGAUGACGGCUUUCGGGUGGGAAAACGCUUUCGCCUGUGACGAAGCGUGAGUGACGGUAAUGGGUAAAGAAGAACCGGCAAACUACGU
rnacentral:rRNA from 1 species